rnacentral:tRNA from 1 species
GGCUUUGUCGUUCAAUGGAUAGGAUAUCUGGCUACGGACCAGGGGAUGGGCGUUCGAAUCGCUUCAAGGCUA